UACGUAGGUCGCAAGCGUUGUCCGGAUUUACUGGGCGUAAAGAGCGCGCAGGCGGCUGGUCAAGUCCGAUGUGAAAUCUCCCGGCUCAACUGGGAAACUGCAUCGGAAACUGAUCGGCUUGAAGAUGGGAGAGGGUAGUGGAAUUCCCGGUGUAGUGGUGAAAUGCGUAGAUAUCGGGGGGAACACCAGUGGCGAAGGCGACUACCUGGCCCAUUCUUGACGCUGAGGCGCGAAAGCUAGGGGAGCGAACGGG
rnacentral:rRNA from 1 species